GAUGAAGAACGCAGCGAAAUGCGAUAAGUAGUGUGAAUUGCAGAAUUCAGUGAAUCAUCGAAUCUUUGAACGCACAUUGCGCCCCUUGGUAUUCCAUGGGGCAUGCCUGUUCGAGCGUCAUUUGUACCCUCAAGCUUUGCUUGGUGUUGGGUGUUUGUCCUCUCCUUUGUGUUUGGACUCGCCUUAAAGUCAUUGGCAGCCAGUGUUUUGGUUUUGAAGCGCAGCACAAGUCGCGAUUCAAGGCUAUCCGCCCGCUUCCACAAGCCUUUUUCACUUUUGACCUCGGAUCAGGUAGGGAUACCCGCUGAACUUAAGCAUAUCAAUAAGCGGAGGA
rnacentral:misc_RNA from 1 species